rnacentral:rRNA from 1 species
UGGCAGGCUUGAGUCUUGUAGAGGGGGGUAGAAUUCCAGGUGUAGCGGUGAAAUGCGUAGAGAUCUGGAGGAAUACCGGUGGCGAAGGCGGCCCCCUGGACAAAGACUGACGCUCAGGUGCGAAAGCGUGGGGAGCAAACAGGAUUAGAUACCCUGGUAGUCCACGCCGUAAACGAUGUCUACUUGGAGGUUGUGCCCUUGAGGCGUGGCUUCCGGAGCUAACGCGUUAAGUAGACCGCCUGGGGAGUACGGCCGCAAGGUUAAAACUCAAAUGAAUUGACGGGGGCCCGCACAAGCGGUGGAGCAUGUGGUUUAAUUCGAUGCAACGCGAAGAACCUUACCUGGUCUUGACAUCCACAGAAGAAUCCAGAGAUGGAUUUGUGCCUUCGGGAACUGUGAGACAGGUGCUGCAUGGCUGUCGUCAGCUCGUGUUGUGAAAUGUUGGGUUAAGUCCCGCAACGAGCGCAAC